rnacentral:lncRNA from 1 species
AUUUAUUCUAUAGUUAAAACGCGAAUUGUAACUCUACGGUGUACAAUAUACGUAUACAUUAUACAAGUUAUUACAAUUCGGCAUUUCUUAAAAAUUCGCAUUUUAUACUUAGAAUAUUAUUACCGUGGUGAAACGUGUCUCCGAACGUACUCACGUUAAAAUAAUAUUUCAAGAUAGAAUCGUAUUUUUUUUUUUAUGUUUAUUUGUUUUCCACGUCCAAGUAUAAUUAAUAAAACAAAAUGGAACGAAUGACACGUUGUCGUGUAAAAAAAAAAAAAAAAAAAAAAAAAAAAAAAAAAAAAACAAUAAACUGUCAUCGUCCAAUUUAGAAGGCAUAAAAGUCUCGGCAACAAAAAGCAUCAACGAAAGACGAAAACUCAAUAGAUACGAAAUUAUACACUCAUGAUGCAAUUUCACGGGCGUAUUGAAAACCGGACGAGAUUCAAACGAUUUUUAAAUUCUAAGCGAAGCGAGAAAUGUAUUGGUUUGACGACGAUUUUUAUUUAAUUUAUUUUUUCUGUAAACAACAUUUUUACCAGUAAUUUCGCUCUGAUUUUCAAUUGUAGUGCUUUUUCUGAAAGGAAAUAGGGAGGUGAUUUUUUGAUUUCCCCGGCUGUUUUCAUAAUAAAUGACAAAAACAGAAAAACAGAUACAAUAUUAAACAAAUAUUAUUAAAGAAAAUAUAUAAUGCAUAAUUAUUUUACCAUAAUAUGACAUAUUACGCAUAAUGUUUAUAAAGCAACACGUAGUCCGGUUAAUAGAACUCCGUUCAGGAUCGUUUUCCGUAAGCAAUAUUUAAUUAUAAUAAUUUAAAUAAUAACGGCUCGAUUAAUAAUUAAAUUUUUUAAAUCGAUAUUUAAUCGUCCGUAAAAUUUCCCACAUACCUUCCCCAUUUCUUAACUACAACCACGGCCCGCCCAUCGUUCGAAGUAUGGCCGUCUUUUUAAAAAUAUUUUCGAAGCCGACGUAAUUACGGUAAUCAUGGUCUGUCGUUUAACCGGCCUGGUUUUAGUUAUUGACAUUACAGGCGCGGACGGGUUAAAAAAAGAUACGGGAUGCCACAUAAUUUUAGGGCGAACAUUAUUAACACAAUCGGAGCAAACUUUAUUCAUAAAGCAUAUUUUAAAAAGCAACCACAGAUAUUCCGCACCACGAUGUGUGGGCCGCUGUCGUCGUAAGUUGGAAUUAAAUACGUCUGGAUUAUAUCUGUAUUACGUAAUGGUAAAUCAUCAUAAAUGUAUAACGGCUCUGAAGUAAGUUCGGUUCAACGUGAUUCGACAAAUUUAAAUUGAACGUUGCAUAUUAUUUUGUAACUAGAAAAUACAUUAUAAUUUUAUUUUAUUAAAUUUUUUUUUUUUAACGUAUUUCAACCAUGACGCGUCGAUAGCAAAAAAAUUUCAAAAUUUAUUGUCAUCUACAUAAAAUGAAAAAAAAAAAAACUCCAACAUGUCAGAUAUUUUCAUAGUGUCACCACUCAUAGACAGUGCUAAUACAUUAAGUAAUACCUAAAUAAUAAUUAAUGACGUAUUGAACCGCCGUAAACAAAUUGUUCAAUACAAUAUUAUCGGAUAGUUUGUUAUUGAAAAUGCGUGUACAUUUUAAAUAGAUUAAUUAAGACAAAUUCAUACAGGAUUGAAGCAAAUAGAUUUUAGUGUGUAUGGGGGACGCUGGAGUGUCUCAGCACUUCAACUGUGUCUGUUUGGCAAACUUUAAUUAGGUAGAAUUAGUAUGGCUACCACGAUUUAGGGUAAGCAGGUGUUGUUAAAAAAAUGACAAAGUUACAAUUAUAAUUGUCAGUGUGUCGCUAAAUCAACGGGGGGGGGGGAACGGCGCAAUCCAUUAUUUUCAAUAUCAUUCACAUCGGUUAAAUGUUCAGAUCGUAAUGAUACGUUCACGUUGUUCGAACUUAACUAUAAUUGUACGAAUUUUUUGUCAGCUCGUACGUAAUAUCGUUUUUUUAAAUAUUACGGUAUCUAGGAAAAAAAAAAAAAAAUUGCGUAACGCGUCGAAUUUAAUCUCAAAACGACAAUCUUUAACCGUCGACCAUGAUCUCCGGCUGCUAUAUAAUAGUAAACUUAAUUAAAAUAUUAUUGUACUUGCUUCC